UACGGAGGGUGCGAGCGUUGUCCGGAAUCACUGGGCGUAAAGGGCGCGUAGGUGGCCUCUUAAGUGUGUGGUGAAAGCCCGGGGCUCAACCCCGGGUCGGCCAUGCAAACUGGGGGGCUUGAGCAUUGUAGAGGCAGGCGGAAUUCCGGGUGUAGCGGUGGAAUGCGUAGAGAUCCGGAAGAACACCGGUGGCGAAGGCGGCCUGCUGGGCAAUUGCUGACACUGAGGCGCGACAGCGUGGGGAGCAAACAGG
rnacentral:rRNA from 2 species